UAAUACAGAGGGUGCAAGCGUUAAUCGGAAUUACUGGGCGUAAAGCGCGCGUAGGCGGUUGUGUAAGUUGGAUGUGAAAUCCCCGGGCUUAACCUGGGCACUGCAUUCAAAACUGCACGGCUAGAGUAUAGGAGAGGAAGGUAGAAUUCCAGGUGUAGCGGUGAAAUGCGUAGAGAUCUGGAGGAAUACCGAUGGCGAAGGCAGCCUUCUGGCCUAAUACUGACGCUGAGGUGCGAAAGCAUGGGGAGCAAACAGG
rnacentral:rRNA from 1 species